AGCAGCCGCGGUAAUUCCAGCUCCAAUAGCGUAUAUUAAAGUUGUUGCAGUUAAAAAGCUCGUAGUUGAAUUUCGGGGUUAGUAGGUUGGUCAUGCCUCUGGUAUGUACUGGUCUCACUGAUUCCUCCUUCCUGAUGAGCCGUAAUGCCAUUAAUUUGGUGUUGCGAGGAAUCUGGACUGUUACUUUGAAAAAUUAGAGUGUUUAAAGCAGGCUAACGCUUGAAUACAUUAGCAUGGAAUAAUGAAAUAGGACGUUCGAUCCUAUUUUGUUGGUUUCUAGGAUUGACGUAAUGAUUAAUAGGGAUAGUUGGGGGCAUUAGUAUUCAAUUGUCAGAGGUGAAAUUCUUGGAUUUAUUGAAGACUAACUACUGCGAAAGCAUUUGCCAAGGAUGUUUUCAUUAAUCGAGAACGAAAGUUAGGGGAUCGAAGACGAUCAGAUACCGUCGUAGU
rnacentral:rRNA from 1 species